GAGGAGUGGCGGACGGGUGAGUAACACGUGGGUAACCUACCCAUCAGAGGGGGAUAACACUUGGAAACAGGUGCUAAUACCGCAUAACAGUUUAUGCCGCAUGGCAUAAGAGUGAAAGGCGCUUUCGGGUGUCGCUGAUGGAUGGACCCGCGGUGCAUUAGCUAGUUGGUGAGGUAACGGCUCACCAAGGCCACGAUGCAUAGCCGACCUGAGAGGGUGAUCGGCCACACUGGGACUGAGACACGGCCCAGACUCCUACGGGAGGCAGCAGUAGGGAAUCUUCGGCAAUGGACGAAAGUCUGACCGAGCAACGCCGCGUGAGUGAAGAAGGUUUUCGGAUCGUAAAACUCUGUUGUUAGAGAAGAACAAGGACGUUAGUAACUGAACGUCCCCUGACGGUAUCUAACCAGAAAGCCACGGCUAACUACGUGCCAGCAGCCGCGGUAAUACGUAGGUGGCAAGCGUUGUCCGGA
rnacentral:rRNA from 1 species